AACCUCGACAGUUGACAGGGACAGUCUGAACUGGGACGGAGGAAAGUAGACUUCUGAGAACAGAAGUGAUAAAAGCUGUGACUCCUUCCUUCUACCUGAACUUUUACAGUAUUUGUCAAUGUGGAGGACAAGUGACCGGCAUCCGACCGAAGGCGAGUUCAGCUUCUGACUUAUCCAUAAAAAAAGCAUCUUUUUUUUUUUCGUUGGAGAUGAAAUUCAGCGUCGUUUUUAAACGUCAGCACGAAAUAAGCCACUGAAAAGCCGGUCCAGUGUCCUCUAAACAUAAUGGCAGAACGAACGACUGAGUGGAAGACAGAGGACAAGUAUUCACAGUGGGGACAGUGUGAGUAUCAUCCCAGUAGAACUCCAAACAGGAAAAUGAAAACGGCUUUAACAGAAGACAGACAACCAGUACAAGAUAGUUGUUCAGUAUGACUUAUAUGUGCCACUUUCUAUGUUCUUGUUGUCUCAACUUUGUUAAAAAAAAAAAAUCAUAAUUACUAGUUUAAAGUACCUGCAGUGAA